GAUGAACGCUGGCGGCGUGCCUAAUACAUGCAAGUCGAGCGAACGGACGAGAAGCUUGCUUCUCUGAUGUUAGCGGCGGACGGGUGAGUAACACGUGUAUAACCUACCUAUAAGACUGGGAUAACUUCGGGAAACCGGAGCUAAUACCGGAUAAUAUUUUGAACCGCAUGGUUCAAAAGUUAAAGACGGUCUUUCUGUCACUUAUAGAUUGUUCCUCGCUGCAUUAGCUAGUUGGUAAGGUAACGGCUUACCAAGGCAACGAUGCAUAGCCGACCUGAGAGGGGGAUCGGCCACACUGGAACUGAGACACGGACCAGACUCCUACGGGAGGCAGCAGUAGGGAAGCUUCCGCAAUGGGCGAAAGCCUGACGGAGCAACGCCGCGUGAGUGAUGAAGGUCUUCGGAUCGUAAAACUCUGUUAUUAGGGAAGAACAUAUGUGUAAGUAACUGUGCACAUCUUGACGGUACCUAAUCAGAAAGCCACGGCUAACUACGUG
rnacentral:rRNA from 1 species